rnacentral:lncRNA from 1 species
GCUCCCUCACCGUCACCGUUUUGUUUGUUGUAUUCGGAUCCGAGGUGCACCGGCCUUCUAUCGACCGUGGCGUAAUCUCCAUUCCCGGUACAACCAUAGCUUCAUGUCCUAGGUGAGCUAUGUACAUCUCUCUUCCACCCUGCUCCUAUUCAUGGCUAAACGAUGUGUGUAGUAGGCAAUAGGACCGUACGAACUUCGCGCUCUCCGUGUUGUGACUAUAGAUGCAGUGUAUGCAUACAAUUUUUUCUCAUCUCGUUCUUGGUC